UACGAAGGGGGGCUAGCGUUGCUCGGAAUCACUGGGCGUAAAGGGUGCGUAGGCGGCCUGACAAGUCUGAUGUGAAAUCCCUGGGCUCAACCCAGGGCCUGCAUCGGAAACUGUCGGGCUUGAGUAUGGGAGAGGUGAGUGGAAUUUCCGGUGUAGCGGUGAAAUGCGUAGAUAUCGGAAGGAACACCUGUGGCGAAAGCGGCUCACUGGACCAUUACUGACGCUGAGGCACGAAAGCUAGGGGAGCAAACAGG
rnacentral:rRNA from 1 species